rnacentral:rRNA from 1 species
GUGGGGAAUCUUGCGCAAUGGGCGAAAGCCUGACGCAGCAACGCCGCGUGCGGGAUGAAGGCCUUCGGGUUGUAAACCGCUUUCAGCAGGGACGAAAUUGACGGUACCUGCAGAAGAAGCCCCGGCCAACUACGUGCCAGCAGCCGCGGUAACACGUAGGGGGCGAGCGUUGUCCGGAUUUAUUGGGCGUAAAGAGCUCGUAGGCGGUUCUGUAAGUCGGGUGUGAAAACUCUGGGCUCAACCCGGAGACGCCACUCGAUACUGCGGUGACUGGAGUCCGGUAGGGGAGUGCGGAAUUCCUGGUGUAGCGGUGAAAUGCGCAGAUAUCAGGAGGAACACCGACGGCGAAGGCAGCACUCUGGGCCGGUACUGACGCUGAGGAGCGAAAGCGUGGGGAGCGAACAGGAUUAGAAACCCUUGUAGUCC